rnacentral:rRNA from 1 species
CCAUAUCACCCUGAACACUCGUGAUCUCGUUUGAUCUCAGAAGCUAAGCAGGGUCAUGCCUGGUUAGUACUUGGAUGGGAGAAUUACUUGUAAAUUUGGAGAGAAAAUGU